rnacentral:rRNA from 1 species
GAUGAACGCUGGCGGCGUGCCUAAUACAUGCAAGUCGAGCGAACGGACGAGAAGCUUGCUUCUCUGAUGUUAGCGGCGGACGGGUGAGUAACUCGUGGAUAACCUACCUAUAAGACUGGGAUAACUUCGGGAAACCGGAGCUAAUACCGGAUAAUAUUUUGAACCGCAUGGUUCAAAAGUGAAAGACGGUCUUGCUGUCACUUAUAGAUGGAUCCGCGCUGCAUUAGCUAGUUGGUAAGGUAACGGCUUACCAAGGCAACGAUGCAUAGCCGACCUGAGAGGGUGAUCGGCCACACUGGAACUGAGACACGGUCCAGACUCCUACGGGAGGCAGCAGUAGGGAAUCUUCCGCAAUGGGCGAAAGCCUGACGGAGCAACGCCGCGUGAGUGAUGAAGGUCUUCGGAUCGUAAAACUCUGUUAUUAGGGAAGAACAUAUGUGUAAGUAACUGUGCACAUCUUGACGGUACCUAAUCAGAAAGCCACGGCUAACUACGUGCCAGCAGCCGCGGUAAUACGUAGGUGGCAAGCGUUAUCCGGAAUUAUUGGGCGUAAAGCGCGCGUAGGCGGUUUUUUAAGUCUGAUGUGAAAGCCCACGGCUCAACCGUGGAGGGUCAUUGGAAACUGGAAAACUUGAGUGCAGAAGAGGAAAGUGGAAUUCCAUGUGUAGCGGUGAAAUGCGCAGAGAUAUGGAGGAACACCAGUGGCGAAGGCGACUUUCUGGUCUGUAACUGACGCUGAUGUGCGAAAGCGUGGGGAUCAAACAGGAUUAGAUACCCUGGUAGUCCACGCCGUAAACGAUGAGUGCUAAGUGUUAGGGGGUUUCCGCCCCUUAGUGCUGCAGCUAACGCAUUUAAGCACUCCGCCUGGGGAGUACGACCGCAAGGUUGAAACUCAAAGGAAUUGACGGGGACCCGCACAAGCGGUGGAGCAUGUGGUUUAAUUCGAAGCAACGCGAAGAACCUUACCAAAUCUUGACAUCCUUGACAAACUCUAGAGAUAGAGCCUUCUCCUUCGGGGGACAAAGUGACAGGUGGUGCAUGGUUGUCGUCAGCUCGUGUCGUGAGAUGUUGGGUUAAGUCCCGCAACGAGCGCAACCCUUAAGCUUAGUUGCCAUCAUUAAGUUGGGCACUCUAAGUUGACUGCCGGUGACAAACCGGAGGAAGGUGGGGAAGACGUCAAAUCAUCAUCCCCCUUAUGAUGUGGGCUACACACGUGCUACAAUGGACAAUACAAAGGGCAGCGAAACCGCGAGGUCAAGCAAAUCCCAUAAAGUUGUUCUCAGUUCGGAUUGUAGUCUGCAACUCGACUACAUGAAGCUGGAAUCGCUAGUAAUCGUAGAUCAGCAUGCUACGGAGAAUACGUUCCCGG